GCGGUGGUGGCCGAGAGGCAAGGCACUUUCCUGUCACGGAAGACUACGCCAGUUCGAACCUGGCCCAUCGCGCCA
rnacentral:tRNA from 1 species